CCGGAGCACUGGGCGGAGGGAAGGAGAGAGAGGAGCGGGUGGAAUCUAGGAAGAGGGGGAAUCGGGGUGGAGACGCGGAGGGAGAUCUCUCCCAACUGUUCUCUCUGCCAGGAUUAGGGUGGGAAAAAAAAAAAAAAAAGUAAUGCUCGCCUUAGGUGUUGUGCAAGGACCUGAAACUCGAAAGCUGAACCCAGAAGGCAGCUAGGUGGUGGGGCUGAGGUUUCCAAGUCUCGUCCACACUGUCGUCUCCGGAGGGGGGAAAAUGGAGUUUAAUAUUUUCAGAAGAGGAGCACAGACCAUCUACCUAAUAUAGUGGCACCUUUUCCUACGAAACGGGAACCAAAGAAGCCACAAAUAUUCACAGAUACUCAACGGCUCUGAGAACUGGGAAUCCAAAUUUGCAGGAAAAUAACAGCCAAAUAUUUAACUACCCAUUUACUGCGUUGCUUUAAUGGAGGAUGUACGUAUGCCGACAGCACAUUUUGCCAGAGUACCCACAGAGAGCACACUGGCCACUUCCCAGGGAAGCAUCUUUUUAAGAGUUCUCAAGAAAUGCACCUCAGAGGGUAUCCAAGGCUUGAAAUCACUUAGAAUCAAAAAGAGAAAGAACAAAAUUUAUAAAAGUGAGGGAGCCUGAUUUACUUCACACCUGGGAACCUGCUGUCCUGUGAUCACAGUUCUCGGGUUUCUAAUUGCCACAGUUCAGUUGAAGAGAACCAUCAGCAACCCACAAAACCAACCGAGUCUCAGCUAAAAGGUGUCAUUUUACUCACAGAGAUCUGGACUUUGAUUUCUCUGUGGGGAAGGUGUUGCUAUCUCAGGAGCCACAGGCAGCCACCGUAGAUUAAUGAACCUGCAGUUGCUCUACUUUCAGCUGUAGCCAGCUCAUGGCACAGCGCUUGCCAUGCACGUCUGAAUGAACGCAUGUAUCCAAGCACGCACACACAGCUACAUGAAAUAUUAGAAAGGACUUUGUGGCAAUCUUGUCUUUUAAAAGUAUCGGUAAAGCUGGGUGUGGUGGCACACGCCUAUAAUCCCAGCACUCAGGAGGCAGAGGCAGGCGGGUAUCUGUGAGUUCAAGGCCAACCUGGUCUACAGAGUCCAAGACAGCCAGAGAAACGCUGUCUUGAACAAAACAAAAAACAAAACCAACAAAGGAUUAGGAAGUAUUGGAGGCAGCGUCUUCCAUGUAGCUUGCUCUGGCCUGGAGCUCACUCCGUGUAGUCUAGGCUACACUUGAACUUGCGAAGUCUACCUGCUGUCUUGCAAGGGCAGAAAUUAUAGAGUGCACCAUGUCCAGACAUAAUGUAGUUUUCGUUAUGUUUUACACUUUAAUUUUGAAAAACAAGCAGAAAGUAAUCCCAGAACCUUGCCACAGUAGAGCCAGAGUUCUUUGGUUACAAUCCAACAUGGUGAUUAUGUUUGAGAGAACAAAGCUAGGAACAUGAAGCAAAGGCACACCCCAAGGCGCAGGCCGGGCUAUAGUCAGCCUUUCCCAUUUGAAUACACUAAAAAUCAUUCUCUUGUCACUAGGGACUUUUCAAGAGGUUUGAGUGUUCUUUAAAGAUGGGGGUCUCACCCUUCGCAGACUUGUCUGUAACUCACAGUAAUCCUCCUGCCUCAGCUUCCAGAUUGUUGAGAUUUCAAGUGUGAGCCACCCUGCCUGCCCAAACAAUUAGAUCAUUAACCCUGAUCAAAGCCUUAUUGUUGAAGUUUGGAACCCCAGAAACAGAGUUAGGGCUUGGGGGGGGGGGCUAAUGACAACCACCAACAGAAGAGUGGUACACAAAGGUGACCAAGGAGACGCAGUGUGAAUCUGCAGUAUUGUGUAUACAAUGACAGGGCGUGUAGACUAGAUCUUUCCCUGUGAAGAAGUGAUUUGCAAAACUACAGCAAGGCUCUUUCAGGAAGAGUGUUUGGCUGGCGUGGUGACACAUGCCAGGACAGCCAAAGCUACACAGAAGAACUGUGUCUUGAAACAAAACAAAACAGACAACCAACCAACCAACAGUGUCUCAACUCUGCACCAUACACACACAAACACAGAGACGACAGAGAGAAAGACAGAGGCAGAGAGUCUCUCUAGAUGGGGACGCAGGGAAGAAAAUGCAAAAUAACUGCUGGGGCAAGCCAGAUGAAGAAUGGACUUUGAUGCUUGUAUUGGCCUUGAGGGCAGCAUAAGACUCUGUAAGCUCAAAACAGCGCAUAGGACAGUGGAAGACAACUGACUCAGAGGCUGUCUGGCGAGGGUUUAGAGGAAAACACUAACUGAAAACUGCCAGCUGCAGUUAUCCCCUUGGCUUAAUUAGACCUGCUUUGUACACAUUAUAUAAAGAAUUGGUGCAUUAAAGUCAACUUAAGGAGUGUUUGUAACAUAAUAGAGGGGAUCCCGUCAGGUGGCUCAGCCGGUAAAAGUGCCUUUUGAGAAAGCCUGGAGACUUGAGUGUGAUUCCUGGGACAGAACUGACUCUCAAGUUAUUCUCUCUGUCUGUCUCUCUCACACACACACACAAAUGAAGAUAAGUCUUUUUGUUUGUUUUUUGAGACAGGGUUUCUCUGUAGCCCUAGCUGUCCUGGAAAUCGCUCUGUAGACCAGGCUGGCCUCUGCCUCCACCUGCCUCUGCCUCCCAAGUGCUGGGAUGAAAGGCAUGGGCCA